rnacentral:sRNA from 1 species
UUGGCCCGAAGGGUGAGUCUCAGGAUGAGACGAGUACACCUGCUGCAGGUUCGAGUCGAACGCAGUGAGACAACGGAGCCGCCUGCGGCGGCGACCCGGAGGGCGAGGCGAAGCCGAGUCAUCCUGCACGACCCACCA